GAGGUUGGGCUGACACCUUUUGUCCACAGGCAAGCGCAUGCCCCCCGAGGUCUACGUGUUCCUGCCACCUGAGGAGCGAGGGGGCCAGGACAAGCUCACCCUCACCUGCCUGAUCCAGAACUUCUUCCCCGUGGACAUCUCGGUGCAGUGGCUUCGCAACGGGCAGAUCCACAAUGACCAGCACAGCACCACAGCGCCCCUCAAGACCAACACCUCCCACCCCUCCUUCUUCAUCUUCAGCCGCCUAGAGAUAACCCUGGCAGACUGGGCACUGAAUACCAAGUUCACCUGCCGCGUGGUCCACGAGGCACUUCCUGGCCGGAGAACCCUUGAGAAAACCGUGUUCAAGAGCCCUGGUAAAUGAAGCCACUCUGCCAGCCUCCCCCCACAGGGCUCAUCCAGCAGGGCAGGAGGGAGGCCAUCCAGGCCUGUCCACUAGGCCUGUCCACUGUUGUGAUGCACCAGGAAGCCACCCUAAUAA